UUAAUUACAAUUAUAAUAUAGUUAAAUACUAAAGUUUACUAAUUUUUUAGUAAAAGGACUAAUUUGCAAUUAUUGUAAAUUAGAGGUAUUUAUGUGUAAAAGUUGCAUGGUGUAUUUACUAAUCGUUAGUAAAUAAUAUGAGGACUUAUGUGUAAAUGUUACACACGAAUCGAAUUAGAAUUAGGAUUCGGAAUUCGGUUAAUAUCAUAACCAACUUGCGGGUUAAUGGAUAAUCAAAUCGGAAUAGGAUUUCGAUUAGGAUUAGGAUUAUGUUAGGGUUUUCUCAUUAUAAAUAUAUGUCAUAUGACAUAUUAAAAUAAGUGAAAAUUUAAUACAAGAGAAAUAGAAAACCCUAGCCGUCAAUCCUCUUUCUUCC
rnacentral:lncRNA from 1 species